GGUCACUAAAUGCAGCUUAGUUUUCAUUUGAUCCUCAUUGGUCCACAGAGACAAACAAUAUCAGACACUAAAUGACAGACAUGAUCAGAUAAACAGGAUCAA